AUCAGAAGAUGGCACGUCAGAU
rnacentral:snRNA from 1 species